GUUGACCUCGGAUCAGGUAGGGAUACCCGCUGAACUUAAGCAUAUCAAUAAGCGGAGGAAAAGAAACCAACAGGGAUUGCCCCAGUAACGGCGAGUGAAGCGGCAAGAGCUCAAAUUUGAAAGCUGGCCCCCUCGGGGUCCGCAUUGUAAUUUGCAGAGGAUGCGUCGGGAGUGGCCCCCAUCUAAGUGCUCUGGAACGGGCCGUCAUAGAGGGUGAGAAUCCCGUAUGGGAUGGGGUGUCCGCGACCAUGUGAAGCUCCUUCGACGAGUCGAGUUGUUUGGGAAUGCAGCUCUAAAUGGGUGGUAAAUUUCAUCUAAAGCUAAAUAUUGGCCGGAGACCGAUAGCGCACAAGUAGAGUGAUCGAAAGAUGAAAAGCACUUUGAAAAGAGAGUUAAAAAGCACGUGAAAUUGUUGAAAGGGAAGCGCUUGCGACCAGACUCGCCUACGGGGUUCAGCCGGUAUUCGUACCGGUGUACUUCCCCGUGGGCGGGCCAGCGUCGGUUUGGGCGGCCGGUCAAAGGCCCUCGGAAUGUAACGCCUCUCGGGGCGUCUUAUAGCCGAGGGUGCCAUGCGGCCAGCCCGGACCGAGGAACGCGCUUCGGCACGGACGCUGGCAUAAUGGUCGUAAGCGACC
rnacentral:rRNA from 1 species